rnacentral:rRNA from 1 species
UACGUAGGGUGCGAGCGUUAAUCGGAAUUACUGGGCGUAAAGGGUGCGCAGGCGGUCCUGCAAGUCAGGCGUGAAAUCCCCGGGCUUAACCUGGGAAUGGCACUUGAAACUACGGAACUGGAGUAUGGCAGAGGGAGGUGGAAUUCCACGUGUAGCGGUGAAAUGCGUAGAGAUGUGGAGGAACACCGAUGGCGAAGGCAGCCUCCUGGGCCAAUACUGACGCUCAUGCACGAAAGCGUGGGGAGCAAACAGG